CUACGGGCGGCUCCAGUGAGGAAUAUUGGACAAUGGGUGAGAGCCUGAUCCAGCCAUCCCGCGUGAAGGACGACGGCCCUAUGGGUUGUAAACUUCUUUUGUAUAGGGAUAAACCUAGAUACGUGUAUCUAGCUGAAGGUACUAUACGAAUAAGCACCGGCUAACUCCGUGCCAGCAGCCGCGGUAAUACGUAGGGUGCAAGCGUUAUCCGGAUUUAUUGGGUUUAAAGGGUCCGUAGGCGGAUCUGUAAGUCAGUGGUGAAAUCUCACAGCUUAACUGUGAAACUGCCAUUGAUACUGCAGGUCUUGAGUGUUGUUGAAGUAGCUGGAAUAAGUAGUGUAGCGGUGAAAUGCAUAGAUAUUACUUAGAACACCAAUUGCGAAGGCAGGUUACUAAGCAACAACUGACGCUGAUGGACGAAAGCGUGGGGAGCGAACAGGAUUAGAUACCCCCGUAGUC
rnacentral:rRNA from 1 species